rnacentral:rRNA from 1 species
CCUACGGGUGGCUGCAGUGGGGAAUAUUGGACAAUGGGCGAAAGCCUGAUCCAGCCAUGCCGCGUGUGUGAAGAAGGCCUUCGGGUUGUAAAGCACUUUCAGUGGGGAAGAAAGCCUUGGGGCUAAUACCCUCGAGGAAGGACAUCACCCACAGAAGAAGCACCGGCUAACUCCGUGCCAGCAGCCGCGGUAAUACGGAGGGUGCGAGCGUUAAUCGGAAUUACUGGGCGUAAAGCGCGCGUAGGCGGUCUGAUAAGCCGGUUGUGAAAGCCCCGGGCUCAACCUGGGAACGGCAUCCGGAACUGUCAGGAGAGAGUGCAGGAGAGGAAGGUAGAAUUCCCGGUGUAGCGGUGAAAUGCGGAGAGAGCGGGAGGAAUACCAGUGGCGAAGGCGGCCUUCUGGACUGACACUGACGCUGAGGUGCGAAAGCGUGGGUAGCAAACAGGAUUAGAUACCCUGGUAGUC